rnacentral:lncRNA from 1 species
GAAGAUAAUGCGGUCGGCAUUUGAAUGUACAGAAUUCUAGGUCAGGUGAACAAAAUGACUUAAGUUCCUGUAUGUUGUUAUGAUUACACCAUGAGUCUUUAAUCAUGAGGCAUACACCCCCGCCCUUCUUUUUACCAGAGAGAAGUUUGUCUCUGUCGGCGCAAUGCAUGUAGAAACCGAGUGGCGGCACCGACUCUGACAACAUAUCCCGAGUGAGCCAUGUUUCCGUGAAACAGAGAAUGUUAUAAUCUCUGAUGUCUCUCUGGAAGGCAACUCGUGCCCUAAUUUCGUCCACCUUGUUAUCUAGAGAUUGGACAUUGGCGAGUAAUAUGCUUGGGAGCGGUGGAUGGUGUUCUCGCCUUCUGAGUCUGACCAGUAGGCUGUUCCGUCUGCCUCUCCUGCGGCGACCGCGUUGUUUUGGGUCGACCUCUGCGAUAAUAUCCCACUUCCAGGUUGGAGGUCCGAACAAAGGAUCAGCUUCGGGAAAGACGUAUUCCUGGUCGUAAUGAUGGCAUGGUCAGAGAGAGAAAGAUAGAGAAGUCAUAGCCUGAAAGGCCAUGCCCCAAGAGUCCCUGGGGUGGAGAGAGAAAGAAAGAGUAUAUCUUACCAGCGCAGACCUACAGGAUGUAAAGACAGCAGAACCUCUGCUACCCAGAGGCAACUCUGUGAAGAACAAAUUCUUAUUUACUAUGACGGC